GGAUAUGUGUGUAAUCUGGCUGUAGCAUCUGUCAUACCGUUAAUCAUUUGGCUGGUCUGUCUGGCUGGGCAGGUGUUCCCUUCCUUCAUCACUGCUCUAUGUGUGUCCUUCUCGAAGCUAUGUUGAUGAAGACAACCAUCCCCAGAUAAAGGAGAUAGAGGAGUAAUAUACCCUGGGUCAAGUGUAUACAAGUCGCAGCACUCGCAUGCUAGACCUUCCAAACAGGCUCUCAAAUCAGAAACUAACUCCUGUUGUCCAAUGCAGAUUUUAUCAGAAUUUCAUAUAACAUACCGGUACAUUGCUGGAAUUUAAACUAU
rnacentral:snRNA from 1 species